rnacentral:sRNA from 1 species
UAAAAAACCCCAAGAACAAGAAACAGGAGUGACUUGCUCAGUAAUUGUUGAGUGACAAAUCAAAUGAUGCUGUUUGGAAAAAUUUCCCAGCAGUUGUGUGGCGUAAAGAAACUCCCAUGGUCAUGUGACUCCAGAUACUUCUGGGGCUGGUUGAAUGCAGUGUUUAAUAAGGUGGAUUAUGAUCGCAUCAGGGAUGUUGGCCCUGACAGGGCGGCAUCCGAGUGGUUGCUGCGCUGUGGGGCCAUGGUGCGCUACCAUGGCCAGGAGAGGUGGCAGAAGGACUACAACCACCUUCCAACAGGCCCUCUGGACAAAUACAAGAUUCAGGCGAUCGAUGCCACCGACUCUUGUAUCAUGAGCAUUGGAUUUGAUCACAUGGAGGGCCUAGAGCAUGUUGAAAAAAUAAGGCUGUGCAAGUGUCAUUAUAUCGAGGAUGACUGUUUGCUGAGACUUAGUCAACUUGAAAAUUUACAAAAAACCAUAUUGGAAAUGGAAAUAAUAUCCUGUGGGAAUAUCACAGACAAAGGCAUCAUUGCUUUGCGUCAUUUAAGAAACCUCAAAUAUUUGUUGUUAAGUGAUCUUCCUGGAGUAAGAGAAAAAGAAAAUCUUGUCCAAGCCUU